rnacentral:rRNA from 1 species
AUUCCAGCUCCAAUAGCGUAUAUUAAAGUUGUUGCAGUUAAAAAGCUCGUAGUUGGAUUUCUGGUUUGAUGCCCUGGCCCGCUUCAAAUUUUGGAGUGUGUGCCGGCUGUGCGUCUGCCAUCCUUCUAGAAAUUGUGUUCCAUCCCUUCACUGGGAUAGACCCGAGAUCUAGAUCUUUUACUUUGAAGAAAUUAGAGUGUUCAAAGCAGGCUCGCGCUGUGAAUACAUUAGCAUGGAAUAAUAAUUUAGGACUUGGUAUCCUAUUUUGUUGGUUUUCAGGAUCUAAGUAAUGAUUGAUAGGGAUAGUUGGGGGUGCUAGUAUUGAGCGGCCAGAGGUGAAAUUCUUGGAUUCGCUCAAGACUAACUUAUGCGAAAGCAUUCACCAAGGAUGUCUUCAUCA